GCGGAGGGAUCAUUACCGAGUUUACAACUACCCAAACCCCUGUGAACAUACCAAUUGUUGCCUCGGCGGAUCAGCCCGCUCCCGGUAAAACGGGACGGCCCGCCAGAGGACCCCUAAACUCUGUUUCUAUAUGUAACUUCUGAGUAAAACCAUAAAUAAAUCAAAACUUUCAACAACGGAUCUCUUGGUUCUGGCAUCGAUGAAGAACGCAGCAAAAUGCGAUAAGUAAUGUGAAUUGCAGAAUUCAGUGAAUCAUCGAAUCUUUGAACGCACAUUGCGCCCGCCAGUAUUCUGGCGGGCAUGCCUGUUCGAGCGUCAUUUCAACCCUCAAGCCCCCGGGUUUGGUGUUGGGGAUCGGCGAGCCCUUGCGGCAAGCCGGCCCCGAAAUCUAGUGGCGGUCUCGCUGCAGCUUCCAUUGCGUAGUAGUAAAACCCUCGCAACUGGUACGCGGCGCGGCCAAGCCGUUAAACCCCCAACUUCUGAAUGUUGACCUCGGAUCAGGUAGGAAUACCCGCUGAACUUAAGCAUAUCAAUAAGCGGAGGAA
rnacentral:rRNA from 1 species